UGAUAGAUGGAACCCAUUUUUGCAUACUACAAUAGACAUUGGCAACUCUUUUUGCUUGCCACCAAGACCCCACCCUUCAGCAUAUAAUUGAUGUUGUUACUUUCAUAGCCUCACUUCAGGUUGUGGCUGAUGACACUCUAGAAAUAGGUUCAGAUGAUAUUUAUUGUAAAUCAAGGAAAACUUUUAGGGAUCGCAAAUGCUAUUCUAGGGCAGUAAGCCACAUUUCAUGUAACUGUAUUUUCCUUAGAAGAGCAUGCUUGUGCCUGCUCCUUUACUCAAAAUUAUUAGAAAAGCUUGCCUGUGUUUCUCUUUGCGUUUUCUUGUUUGCUUGCAUGUGCAGGUGUGUAUUGAUAGAUAAUGCCGCUCUUAUAUUGAUUGACA
rnacentral:misc_RNA from 1 species